GGCUACGUAGUCUCAGUUGGUUAGAGCACAUCACUCAUAAUGAUGGGGUCACAGGUUCGAAUCCCGUCGUAGCCACCA
rnacentral:tRNA from 1 species